GUACAUAAGAAGCAUUGCAUCUGUCUUGACCUCAUCCCUUCGGUCCCUAUCUCUCUCCUGCAGCACGGAGGACAGUGAGGAUCACAGAGCGAGCAGAGACCUCGUUAUGCGACUGCUGAGCUAAGUCACCACAAUGACAAGAUGUGAAAUUACACGCUGGGUGAUGCAAAACACGGAGGACAGGAAAGGACGGACGGCGUGCACGAAGACCACAAAUCCUCAAACCCUCCCUCCCUCCCCAGGCCGUGCUGACACCUCCCGCUGCGCCUAAGCUGAGUGGAUGUCUGUUUCGGCCCCAGAGCCAGCAGAGAAGCAUCUAUUGGCGUCCCUGGGCUGCGGAGGGGCUUCACAUUAAGAUAAUUAGACAAAGAGAAGGUGCAGGGAUGAGACCCUGGAGAGCAGGAGGCACUUCGGAGUCUGUGACUGACAGGUUUUAGUCUAGUUGCUCACUGUGGCCUUAUUUGCGCCUUAAGUGUACUUUUAUGGUCGAAACAAUACUUGCGUGGCACCAAAUAGCUGCACGGAGACGUCUGAAAAUGUGGGAAAGUGAUGGGAUUCUAUCAGGAGGGAAGAGCUAAAUCACCUUUUAAUGCAAGGUGCUAUGAGGACACAGAUGGUGAGGUCUGGUGGCAGGGAGGGGAAGUGUGUCACAGGGUGCAAGUAUAUUAUGUGGAGCUGAAGUUUUUUACAUUUUGGAAAAUAGGUUUAUUUGCUUUCUAGUCAAGAGUUAGAACCACCUGUGUGCUAAAUAUGAAGCUAGAGCUAGGACACAGUUAGCUUAGCUUAGCGGGGGGGGGAAACAGCUAGCCUGGCUCUACUAGCACUUUUGAAGCUGACCGAAAAGUAAAAAUACACAAAUACACAAGUUUUAUAGAAGGUUAUACUCGUUAUGUGCCAAGAAAUACUCCAGAACAUAACCCCUGUUAAUCCACACAUCUUUGUUAUCACACGUCAGAAGCCACUGCUCAGUAUAUGCUAAGCUAAGCUAACGUCUGCUGGCUGUAGCUUCAUAUUUACCGAACAGAUAUGAAUUUUGUCAGGUAACUCUCACCAAGAAGGUAAAUAACGUAUUUCCCAAAAUGUCAAACUACUCCUUGAAGUGUUUGCGUGUUAAGUACAUUUUGAGUGUGCAAUAAGACUUUGUUCUUUUUUGGAAACGGCAGUUUGAACGAAAGUAAAUCAAUAAAAAUGGAACAAAACAAAGCGUUGUCUUCAGCGGCCUGGAUGAAAGACAUGUAGCAGUAGAUAUAGCAGAAGCUUGACUGUCGCUCCGACGAGCUACGAGCCUGAAAGACAAACUCUGGGAUGAAGCCUCGACUUCACCUGUUUUUCUUGCCUGUUUGAACACGAGGACAGAAGCUGAGCUUCAAACGAAGCUGUUGCCACAGUGACGCCUCCCAGAUAACUACCUCCAGCUCUGUGAUUUUCUCUCUCGCAGCUUCUCUUUGCUUGUUUUAUAUGGCCUGUGCAGCCGAGUGUGUGUUCACUCGCUGGAGCUUCUCUUUCCGCUCUGACACUCUGCAAUCAGAUGUGACACACUGAAGGCUCGGAUGACAGCUGGGAAGACAAGGUCACACAGUCACCUACUUUUAACGAAGGAUAUGCACAGCUCCUUUUGACAGGCGCACACACUUGUACACACAGUCACAUGGCGGAGCUGGAGUAUUUUGCAGACGGGGCCUUUCCUCGUGCCUGUGCAAUCUCAGAAGCAAUUACCUAUUAAAAUUUCAUCCUUCCCAUCUCAGAAUGUUUAAGGAAAGAUUAUAACGGCUGUGGAGGUAAUUAAGCCUGCAAAUGGUAAAUUGAGUUGUGAAUACAGAGGAACCGUGUGUGUGUGUGUGUGUGUGUGUGUGUGUGUGUGUGUGUUUUGUCUCAAUAAAACUAAUAGCGCUGCCCACCUAAAGCUCUUCACUGUGAUACCCGAAAAGACAAUUACAGGACAAAGAAGUACAAUAUUGGUUUGGAGGAUUUGUUCAGUGAUAAAUACUGUUAACAAUUACAUUUCACCUCUAACGUCUUCAUUAUGUGAUACAGUGAGUGUAGGAACAAAGACACGAGCGGCCCCUGCUUUACAUUACACUAAAGAGACUCUCAAGACUGAAAAACUGCAGCUUCAUUACACAACUUAUGACGGAGACGAAGCCCCCCGCCCUUCAGAGCUUCAGAAAUAGCUGAUACCAAUCUCGGCGUUGCCACUGAAGCCUCUUCUGGACCAAACAGCCAUUAACAUCUGGCUUUUGUCUUGUGUUGGGAAAGGUUACAAUCUGCAUUUAUUCCCGGGACAAAUGACUUUUGACUUUUGAAGUGAAACUAAAUCAACUCUCAACAAUUCUUAUUAUGUCUUAACGUACAAAACAUACUGUCAUUGUGCUCUCCUCAAAGCCACCAGACUCCAUUGAGAAAAACAGUCAUUGAACUUGCUGAUCAUUGUAAAAACAUUUCAUUCAAACGACAAAGAAACUAAAUAAAUGUCAUCAGAAUGGUCUUUGUUCGUGUUUCCACUGCUCCAACAAUCCUAACCAAAGCGUCUGAUUAGUAACCGAUAUAAAGAAGGAAUAAUAACCGUGACAUCUUCACUGGCCUCCAUGCUGCUUUCUGCUUUCCAGCAUGACACACCAGGAAAGAAAACACUCGUUUACUGGCAGUGGGAAAGGAGUCUAUCGUCUAUUUUUAGCGGGUUUUCCCACGUUUUCAUUUUUUGGGUAGAAAAAUCUCUUUGGCUCCUCACAUUGUGUUCCCUCCCCAUCCACCGCUCUCCCGUCGUUCUCCAUCCCUCCCUUUUGAUGCUGGGAGCACAGAGACGCAGGAUUUUCAGCCUUUUUAAGGAUUCAAACAAAGACUUCUGGGUUUUGGAGAUGACAUGAAAGUCUGCCAGCCGGCCGGCCCUCCUGGGGAUCUGGUGGUUCUGGCUGGUACUGGUUCACAAGGCAACUAAAGCGUCUACUCUUAUUAUGCAAUACGUUGCGGGGGACCCUGCUGGACGUGCACAGGGGCCUGCAACAUAACAAACACGAGCCUCUGCCUUCUCACUGGUGUGGGACAUAUGACAAUUAUGAAUGAACAAGACACAGCAAAGUGUUAGGAAUAAGGUUUGCUUGUUGUUCUAUACCUCUGUUGACAAAUGCAUUGACUAAAGUGCUUAAAGCAGUGAGUGUAUAGCUCGAAAUAUUAUUUGUCUCCAUGAUUUCACUUUAAACUGUUGAUUUUGCACUUAAGU